rnacentral:rRNA from 1 species
CGAAAAGAGGGAAAGAGCUUGCUCUUUCCGGAAUUGAGUGGCAAACGGGUGAGUAACACGUAAACAACCUGCCUUCAGGAUGGGGACAACAGACGGAAACGACUGCUAAUACCGAAUAAGUUCCAAGAGCCGCAUGGCCCAUGGAAGAAAAGGUGGCCUCUACCUGUAAGCUAUCGCCUGAAGAGGGGUUUGCGUCUGAUUAGCUGGUUGGAGGGGUAACGGCCCACCAAGGCGACGAUCAGUAGCCGGUCUGAGAGGAUGAACGGCCACACUGGAACUGAGACACGGUCCAGACUCCUACGGGAGGCAGCAGUGGGGAAUCUUCCGCAAUGGGCGAAAGCCUGACGGAGCAACGCCGCGUGAGUGAUGACGGCCUUCGGGUUGUAAAACUCUGUGAUCCGGGACGAAAAGGCAGAGUGCGAAGAACAAACUGCAUUGACGGUACCGGAAAAGCAAGCCACGGCUAACUACGUGCCAGCAGCCGCGGUAAUACGUAGGUGGCAAGCGUUGUCCGGAAUUAUUGGGCGUAAAGCGCGCGCAGGCGGCUUCCCAAGUCCCUCUUAAAAGUGCGGGGCUUAACCCCGUGAUGGGAAGGAAACUGGGAAGCUGGAGUAUCGGAGAGGAAAGUGGAAUUCCUAGUGUAGCGGUGAAAUGCGUAGAGAUUAGGAAGAACACCGGUGGCGAAGGCGACUUUCUGGACGAAAACUGACGCUGAGGCGCGAAGCGUGGGGAGCAAACAGG